UACGUAGGUGGCAAGCGUUGUCCGGAAUCACUGGGCGUAAAGCGCGCGCAGGCGGCGAUCUACGUCUGGGGUGAAAGCCCGGAGCUCAACUCCGGGACUGCCUUGGAUACGGGAUCGCUUGAGGAUUGGAGAGGCAAGGGGAAUUCCACGUGUAGCGGUGAAAUGCGUAGAUAUGUGGAGGAACACCUGUGGCGAAGGCGCGUUGCUGGCAAAUUUCUGACGCUGAGGCGCGAAAGCGUGGGGAGCAAACAGG
rnacentral:rRNA from 1 species